rnacentral:rRNA from 1 species
AACGAACGCUGGCGGCAGGCUUAACACAUGCAAGUCGAGCGCCCCGCAAGGGGAGCGGCAGACGGGUGAGUAACGCGUGGGAACGUACCUUUUGGUUCGGAACAACUCCGGGAAACUGGAGCUAAUACCGGAUAAGCCCUAACGGGGAAAGAUUUAUCGCCGAAAGAUCGGCCCGCGUCUGAUUAGCUAGUUGGUGAGGUAACGGCUCACCAAGGCGACGAUCAGUAGCUGGUCUGAGAGGAUGAUCAGCCACACUGGGACUGAGACACGGCGCAGACUCCUACGGGAGGCAGCAGUGGGGAAUAUUGGACAAUGGGCGCAAGCAUGAUCCAGCCAUGCCGCGUGAGUGAUGAAGGCCUUAGGGUUGUAAAGCUCUUUUGUCCGGGAAGAUAAUGACUGUACCGGAAGAAUAAGCCCCGGCUAACUUCGUG